GACGAACGCUGGCGGCGCGCCUAACACAUGCAAGUCGAACGGAGCGCAAAGGAUGAAGGUUUCGGCCGGAAUUUUUUGUUGCUUAGUGGCGAACGGGUGAGUAACACGUGAAUAACCUGCCCUAAAGUGGGGGAUAACAUUUGGAAACAGAUGCUAAUACCGCAUAAGACCACAGCACCGCAUGGUGCGGGGGUCAAAGGAGUAAUCCGCUUAUGGAUGGAUUCGCGUCCGAUUAGAUAGUUGGUGAGGUAACGGCCCACCAAGUCGACGAUCGGUAGCCGGACUGAGAGGUUGAACGGCCACAUUGGGACUGAGACACGGCCCAGACUCCUACGGGAGGCAGCAGUGGGGAAUAUUGCACAAUGGACGAAAGUCUGAUGCAGCGACGCCGCGUGAGGGAAGAAGGCUUUCGGAUUGUAAACCUCUGUCUUCGGGGACGAUAAUGACGGUACCCGAGGAGGAAGCCACGGCUAACUACGUGCCAGCCGCCGCUGUAA
rnacentral:rRNA from 1 species